ACUUAGCGUCGUGCGCUGGAGCUGCGCGGGCUUUCGUGGCCCUCGGGUAGCAGUUCCACCGCCGCGUGGCCACAGUGACCCCUCCCCUGGGAGGAGCCCUGUUGCCCCCCCCCCCUGGGCGGUUGCGGAUGAAGCUGCUGUCAAUGGCCACGUGGAGGCUCACUUAGACCUUAGCUGUCACAGGCCCUUCCUGAUAGUCUUGAGCCUUUAGAAGCCGGCCAGAAGGUAAUGAGUAGCCACAGUGGCCAGCUGUGAGGAGCCUGGCCAUCGGCCCUGAGCUGGGUGACCGUGAGUGUCCAGGCCACCCUUUGAGCUUCAGCCCCCUCUUUUGUGGAACUGGUUCCUUCACUUUAGUGGGCAAGAGGAAGGGUGGCUGCUUGGUCCUGGGGGAGCACGGCCAGCAGCGUCCUCAUGGAGCUCCACAGCUAGCUGGUGGGUGACAAAAGGCCCCGUGACAGCCAAGCCCCUCCCCUCAGGCACUCUGAUUCCAGAGCUUGUGGCUUUCUGAGACCCCCCCAGCUCUCCCUUCCACUGGCUGCUCUUUGUGAGGAUUCUCCUGUCCAGGACCCCAGUGAGCAGCCAGCAACCUGGCACUUCACCACCCAGCCAAUGACGGUCACCUCACCACGGUGGAAAAAUCCCACUACACCAAGAAUGAACUUUCUUAAACUGAGGACCAAAGUGACGAUGGGCCACUGUGAGUUCAUUGGUUGUAACAAAAGCAUCCACAGAUAUGCUAUCCAUAGCAGGGAAGGCGGGGUGGCCAGGGACGCGGGGGGAAUCUCCACCUUCUGCUUGAUUUUGCUGUGGACCUAAAACUGCUGGAAGAAACAAACAAGAAGUCUAUAAAAAAUUCCUCCCCCCAGAUGUCCUGGUGACUAGCCAAAGGGGAGGGCAGGGCAUGGGGAAACACCUCUGCCCAGGUGGGGAAUCUUCCAGUGCUGCCCCUGUGCGGUCACCUUCCACUAGGAAGGCAAGAGGCGCUCUGCAGGGGCUUUGUGCCCCUGCAGAAAGCCAGCAAAGUAAAAACCCUCCGCUGAGGGGUGGAGAGAGGGUUAGGUGGCUGCUCUGACUUUCUCAGGGAACCAAACGUGACUUAGAACGCCUGGCGUGUGUGACGGCCUUCCCAGCCAUCCCACGUGGACCCCGGGAACACUGUGGCUGAGUUUUAAAACAUCCCCUUUGCAUGUGGGAACCAGUCAAUUUAGUCAAAGGAAACUCAUGACCAUCUUUAAAUACACAGCAGGAAGCCAGUGGAUUGCAACUCUGAGGGCCAGAACAGAACAGAGGUUGGAGCCUAUUUUUGAGAUGCAUUGUAACUGCUAGAAAGAGCAGUUACGGUGGAGUCCAGCCAGCAGCAAGGUGUCCUUCUGACGAAGGUGCUUCUGGGCUUUCAGCCAGGCCCAGGGCUGGCAUCUUCUCACCCAUCCACUGCUGGUCUCCUGUGCUGACAGUGGUAGCGCUGGGAAGCGAGGCCUUCUCCUGUCGGGCUCCCCAUGGGGACUGUCAUGCUGGGGAGGGCUUUGAAGCUGCAGAAAAUGCUUAGCAGAUACAACACUGUCGAAGAGUCAGGAAGAGGUGUUUGAGGGACAUUGUCUCCCAAUUGCCAGGUCAAUACAGGUUUCUCAGUUAAAUUCAAAUUUCAAAUAAACAAUGAACAUAGAUGCAGAUAUGCUGAAUACCACGUAUGCUUAUUCUGUAUCUGUGUGUGUAUGUAAAUGUGUCCCAGGUAAUCUUUGAACAUCUUUAUGUGCUCAAUCUGGCAACCCAAAGCAAACAGCGUUCCAGUUUAGAGUUUUUCUUUCUCUCGUUUCCAGGCCCGGCUGGCUUGCCAGCUUCCCCAGGGACGCACACCGCCUUCUCCCUCCCUUCUGUCCUACCUCGCUUUCUCCCACGGCAGCCCUGGGAGUAGGUAGCAGCGAAGCAUCCCUGUGCCCGCCUGGGACAGAAGGGAGGCAGCCCUGUGAGGCACAUUGGAGGCACCUGUUGAAAUUCUAGCCUGGCCCUGGGAAACUGUGGAGGGCUCCAGUGGCUAAGAUGAAGCCCCAUCCCCUGGUGGCCGCAUACCUGCCACAGCCCGGGAGCUGGUGCUGUGGCGAUCUCCUCCAUCCCCUACGCAGCACCGCCUAGACUACACCAGCACCUGUUGGCACUGAAUUCUGGGCUUGAACCCCGCAUGGGCGAAACGUCCUGUGGUUAUGGCAGGGGAAAUGGGAGGUGUCUCUGAAGCGACAUCCAUUUAUUCAAUUUCUCACUUGGAGCAUGGAGUCUGCCCCCCCCCCAGAGGAUUCAACCCAGCACAGGGAGACCCUGGACCCUGACUGCCUUCCUGGUGCCUCCAUUCUGGUAUGGAGGCCGGGCAGGCGGCAGGCACCGGGUGGUCAGUGCAGCUGGGAGAUGAAACAGGAUGCGGUGAGCCGAAGGAAGGAAGCCAGGGGAGGAAGUGGCUGGGAGCCAGACUGAGAGUGGGGGUCAGGCAAAGGUCUUGAGGAGUGCAAAGGCCCUGUGGGGCCCAGGCUGGGCUGGCGUGGAAGCCCCCGUGGGGCGCUUGCAAGCAGAGGCUGAGGCUGGGGCAGGGGCAGGGGCGUCCUCACCUCUCACUGACUCCUAAGGGGGAAGAGGAUCAUGGUGCCCGGGUGGCCUGAUUUCGGUGGGUCGGGGUGGGGGGCUGCUCUGUGCUUCCCCUUCAUUCAGUCCUCUGAAGUCUCCCAUAAAAGGUAAUUUCUGUAAGUCAAAAGACAGUGGGUUUUUACAAGGCGGCAUGCACUCCAGUUGACCAAGGGUCACUUCCCAUGUAGCAUCUGGAAGCUCGGGACAGCUCUGCUCUCUGGUCCUGUUUUCCGGAAUCCCAAGGCAUCUUCUGGGCCCCAGGAGAAAGGUGGGGAGGACUCUGGCUCAACCAAGGAGGGCAGAGGAGAGGCAGCCUUCCCCCACCUGGCCACGGGGUUCUCCUGAGCCUCCGAAUCCGAGGAGGCUGCACUGGCUCACAGGCCUUCCUCCGAGAAGCUUUCUGAUCAGUUCCCCCAAACUGGCAGGGGGGGGGGGAGGCAUUCCUUUAGCGACCCUGGGCUGGCGCUGGGGCCUAGCACGUGUGAGGCGCUGGGUUCAUCCUCAGCAUCACACAAAAAUAAAUAAAAUCAAGGAAUUGUGUUCAACUGCAACUAAAAAAAAAAAAUUAAAAACAAGCAAAAAAACGUGGGAGCGUUUCCCUGGAGAAGACCUCUUGCUCCCAAGAAGUUUCA